rnacentral:lncRNA from 1 species
UGCACCUGGGCCAGCCAGAAACAGCUCGCCAAGCCAGGGUCCAAAUGGAGUGAGGCAGCAGAGACGAGGGGCCUGGGCAGGAGCUAUCCUGCAAGAGCCUGGAGUCUGCAGGAGGCAGUGGCUGCUCCAGCUGGCUUGACAUUUGGGGCUAAGGAUUUGCCGAGGACCGUUUCACAGAUACAUUUUGUAGAGGCUGCACUGAGCCUCCUGGACUGAAAUGCAGUACAAUACUCUGUGUUGCUUUGAUUUCACCUCUGGUGCAGGCUGCGUGGGCAUGAUUGUAAGGAGCCUGUGUUUUCCCUUGAAGACAAAAGGAAAGAUGAGCCACUGCCUUAUCCACACAUAUCCUCAUUUAAAACCUGCUGCUACCUUUUGAAAAUGUAUUGAGAUGUAUGUUAAUGAUUUUCACAAUCAUCUGUAUUUGUUACUCUUCAGUAAAAUAUUGACAAAUAAACAUAGCAUCACAUUUUACAAAUCA